UAGAAAACUUGUUCGAGCCCUAUCUGUUCGAAGCAGCAGGGUAGGAUGACCCCGGCGGUGGCAGCGGCAGAGGGGGCGGCGAGGAUGGCCGCUGGUGCGAGGAGGCGGAGCCAAUGACCCCGGCGGUGGCGACGGCAGAGGGGGUCGGCGAUGAUGGCCGAUGGGGCGAGGAGGCGGAGCCGAUGACCCCGGCGGCGGCGGCGGAGGGGUCCCAGGGGCUGGAGGACCGACGUCUGAUGCAGCCGUGGUUCCUCGCCGUCAAGAGCUAGAUCGAGCGCACGGCGGUGUAGCCGUCCAGAGGAAGAGGAAGAGCACCCUACGCCGGCUUGGCCGUGGCGUCACGGAGGCGGAGAGAAAGGGCACCGGUGGCCCCGUGAAGGUCGAGGAGGUCGCCGUCUCGUCGUGCAGCGCGCGAUGGUGGACCGAUGGGCGUCCAAGAGGCACUUGACCUUGCCGGAUCACGCUGCUGCUGGCGUAAUCCAGGCCGGAUCUGUGGAGAGCCCGGCGCAGCACCGUCUACAGAUUGAUAAGGCCGGAGCUUCAAUGACGAAUCUACUAUUCAGCACACAGCCCAACUCGACAGGCACUAGCCAUGUCAACAGGCACUCAGGGGCAUGCUCGCCUCGGCAGUCAUCAAGGUGGCAAUAGAACACUUGAAUUCUACUAUUUCAGGCGAGAUCAAGCUGCUCAGGAAUAUGAGGAAUGAUCUGGAGAACCUGAAGAUGACGCUGGAGUCGGUGGACGCUGUGCUCCGCGACGCUGAGAGGGAGUCUAUCAAGCAUAAGUCCAUCCUUCUGUGGCUGAAGCAACUUAAGGAUGUCGCGAACGACAUCUCUCACAUGCUUGAAGAUUUUGAAGAUGAAACCGACCUCAACCUGGUAUGCAAGAUUCUGAUUUGGUCACUAUCAAUCUUGAUCUGAAUGUUGUUGUUUAAUAACAUAUGAAUAUUUUUAGAUAAUGAACUACAUCUAAAACUUUUUUAUGUACUGAAGUAGAUCUGAACCUCACUGUUGGAGUUGAUCUUUGAGUCGAUGUUAAGUAAAAGCUACUUAUACUUGUUGAUGCCAAGACCACCUUUUCAUUCCUAAAUGUCCCUGUUUUCUUAUGUUUCACAAAUAGUAAGCUAUGUCCACAAAUAUCAUGAUUUGAUUGAGGGGAAAGUGAAGUAAUACUAGUCUGGUAUCCCAAGUGUAAUAUCAGUUUAUUCACUGUUUUUGUCAAGCACCUGAUUGAAACAAGACAGAAGGACCAAAAUCAUCUACACUUGCUCACUAAGUAGAAAUUUGCUACUGCAACCCUUCUGGUUUAGGAAAGUGACAAUUUUCAGAAAUUGUUUAGACGGAGGGAAGAACAUACAACAUAUCCCUUUAUUCUGCACAUUAGUGUCUGAUGGAGCAGUUGUAGGACGUUGUUUUUUCUCUUUGAUGUUCUUUUCCAGGUGAAAUCCAUGGCUGCUUCUUAAAACUUAAAAUCUGUAAGCAGAUGUUUCAAUUGCCAAAAGAUGGUUGUUGUUUUGCGACCAGACUGACCAUCCAGCUUUAAAUUUUAGUGUAAUCUCAAGAUAUUGCAAUUGAACUCUUCUUAAGGUAAUUCUCUGUUUUAUCUGAACUCACUAAGAUUAUUUGCUUUUUCUUUGGUCUUUUGCGCAUUUAAAAUGCCAGAGAAAAUUUUGCCAAUCUCUUUAAUUUUCACACAAAGCUAAGGUGUUCCCCAUUUAUAAUUUAGAGAUAAGCAUCUUGUCAAAGCUUAGGCUUACAAUGGAGACACCAUCAAUGGCAAUUCCAAAGUUCUGUGCCUGAUCUAUCAGUAUCUUUUCUAAUCUCCCACCUCACGUGCUGAAAUUAAAGGGGAAAGGAGCAAACAAUGAGCACCCACAAGUAAUAUAUUGUUGGAAAUAUGCCCUAGAGGCAAUAAUAAAUUGGUUAUUAUUAUAUUUCCUUGUUCAUGAUAAUUGUUUAUUAUCCAUGCUAGAAUUGUAUUGAUAGGAAACUCAGAUACAUGUGUGGAUACAUAGACAACACCAUGUCCCUAGUAAGCCUCUAGUUGACUAGCUCGUUGAUCAAUAGAUGGUUACGGUUUCCUGACCAUGGACAUUGGAUGUCGUUGAUAACGGGAUCACAUCAUUAGGAGAAUGAUGUGAUGGACAAGACCCAAUCCUAAGCCUAGCACAAGAUUGUGUAGUUCGUUUGCUAAGAGCUUUUCUAAUGUCAAGUAUCAUUUCCUUAGACCAUGAGAUUGUGCAACUCCCGGAUACCGUAGGAAUGCUUUGGGUGUACCAAACGUCACAACGUAACUGGGUGGCUAUAAAGAUGCACUACAGGUAUCUCCGAAAGUGUCUGUUGGGUUGGCACGAAUCAAGACUGGGAUUUGCCACUCCGUGUAAACGGAGAGGUAUCUCUGGGCCCACUCGGUAGGACAUCAUCAUAAUGUGCACAAUGUGACCAAGGAGUUGAUCACGGGAUGAUGUGUUACGGAACGAGUAAAGAGACUUGCCGGUAACGAGAUUGAACAAGGUAUCGGGAUACCGACGAUCGAAUCUCGGGCAAGUACUAUACCGGUAGACAAAGGGAAUUGUAUACGGGAUUGAUUGAAUCCUCGACAUCGUGGUUCAUCCGAUGAGAUCAUCGAGGAGCAUGUGGGAGCCAACAUGGGUAUCCAGAUCCCGCUGUUGGUUAUUGACCGGAGAGUCGUCUCGGUCAUGUCUGCGUGUCUCCCGAACCCGUAGGGUCUACACACUUAAGGUUCGAUGACGCUAGGGUUAUAGGGAAAGUAUGUAUGUGGUUACCGAAAGUUGUUCGGAGUCCCGGAUGAGAUCCCGGAUGUCACGAGGAGUUCCGGAAUGGUCCGGAGGUAAAGAUUUAUAUAUGGGAAGUCUUAUUUUGGUCGCCGGAAAAGUUUCGCGCAUUAUCGGUAUUGUACCGGGAGUGCCGAAAGGGGUCCAGGGGUCCACCAAGGGGGUCCACUAGCCCCGGGGGGCCACAUGGGCUGUAGGGGUGUGCGCCUUGGCCUAUAUGGGCCAAGGGCACCAGCCCCAAGAGGCCCAUGCGCCAAGAGAUAAGGGAAAGGGAGAGUCCUAAAGGGGGAAGGCACCUCCGAGGUGCCUUGGGGAGGAUGGACUCCUCCCUGGCCGCACCCUUCCUUGGAGGAAGGGCCAAGGCUGCGCCCUUCCCUCUCCCUUGGCCCUAUAUAUAGUGGGGAGGGGGAGGGAGGGCAGCAAUACCUAAGCCCUGGCGCCUCCCUCUCCCUCCCGUGACGCAUCUCCCUCCUCCCGCAGCGCUUGGCUAAGCCCUGUUGGAAUCCCGCUACUUCCACCACCACGCCGUCGUGCUGCUGGAUCUCCAUCAACCUCUCCUCCCCCCUUGCUGCAUCAAGAAGGAGGAGACGUCGCUGCUCCAUAUGUGUGUUGAACGCGGAGGUGCCGUCCGUUCGGCGCUAGGAUCAUCGGUGAUUUGGAUCACGACGAGUACGACUCCAUCAACCCCGUUCUCUUGAAUGCUUCCGCUCGCGAUCUACAAGGGUAUUUGGCAAUGUUGGCUCUUGGGCUGCCCAAUUGAUCACUGAAGCUGGUGGCAAGGUGGUCUCCAUCAGAGAUGUCACAGGGGCUGUCAAGAACUCCAAUGGCAUUGACAUAGCCAAGCUGAUGAAGCACUCGGCAGAGAACCGCGGGAUCAAGGGCUCCGACAAAAGGCGACGCCGUCGACCCGACCUCGCUGCUCACGGAAGUGCGACGUGCUCAUCCCGGCAGCUGUGGGAGGAGUCAUAAACAAGGACAAUGUUGAUGCCAUCAAAGCAAAGUACAUGAUCGAGGCUGCUAACCACCCAACAGACCCCGAGGCCGAAGAGAUUCUGGCAAAGAAGGGCGUGCUGAUCCUACCGAACAUCGUGGCCAACUCCGGCGGAGUGAUGGUGGGCUACUUCGAGUGGGUGCAGAACAUCCAGGGGUUCAUGUGGGACGAGGAGAAGGUGAAUCGGGAGCUCAAGACAGGGGUACUAAAUAUGAGCUUCUAUCUACAAACUUUUGUCCGCGAUCUAUUUGUGACGACUUCUCUCAAGCAAUCUGGAGCUCCUUUAUCUUCUCUUGUUGUGCAACAUCCUUCUUAUCAUGUUCUUGCGCCUUCCCUUCCAUCUCUUCUAACCACCCAUCCUGAAAUUGCACAGUUUUUUAAAUCAAAAAUUGCAUUGUGUUGCUCCACGCCUCCACCGCCAGCACAAGGUGUGAGGAGGGAAGGACGGGAGGAAGAGAUGAGGGCAGGGGAAGAUAUACCUCUGUUCGUCCAUCAUUACGACCAAGCGCAGCCGGGACCUCCAAGACCCUCGCGCCGGCGUCGUCCCCUCCAGAACCUCACGGCGGCGGCGGCGGGGACGUACAUGGGCGAGCGGCCACUACGACCACGACCAGCCUGGGCUUCGCCUCCUGGACCUCGCAUCGGCGUCUUCGCCUCCAGGUCCUCGCGCCGGCGUCAUGGCCAAGGUCCUCACUCCUGCGCUGCCGUCUCUCAGGUCCUCGCGCCGGCUCCCCCUCUCGCGAGAUGGGUUAGCCAGAUGCGGGGGUUUGACCAGCAGAGGUCAUUCAGUAGCUUGAGCAUAGUUGAGCUGUCCGGCAACAACCUUGUUGGACUUAUACCGCCAGGGCUUUGUAAUUUGACGCGUUUAACAAUCCUUGAUCUCAGCCAGAAUCAACUCAGCGGGAAUGUACCAACUAAAAUUGGUGCCCUUGCUUCCCUGACUUAUUUGAACAUAAGAAGCAACAACCUUACAGGAAGUUUACCGGCCGAGCUUGGAAAACUGAAGCAUUUGGCUUACCUUUAUCUCACAGAUAACAGAAUUAAUGGAGGUAUACCCACUGCAUUGGGUUCUCUGGAGGAUCUGGUUAAUCUGGACCUAAGCAACAACGACCUUAGUGGUUUGAUCAAGGAAGAACACUUUGCAAAUCUAAAAAGUUUGAAGUUCAUAGACUUGUCUUCCAAUAAUUUGAAGAUUGUAGUGGAUUCGGAUUGGCGUUUUCCCUUUAGGCUACAGUAUGCAGAUUUUUCAUCUUGCCAAAUGGGUCCUCUCUUUCCAGCUUGGCUUCGGCAGCUGCAGGGAAUCGAUUCACUUAACAUUUUGAGCACCGGUUUAGAGGACAAGUUUCCUGAUUGGUAUACAUUUUCAAUGACAACACAUCUUGACAUCUCUGACAACCAAAUAAGUGGUAGCUUGCCAGCACAUCUGGAUGGCAUGGCCAUGGAAGAACUUUUUCUCGGUUCAAACCGGCUCACCUUUUGUGUUGACAUAACAAGGCUUAGGAAUCUUCAGUACUUGGAUCUAUCAGGCAAUAGUUUCUCUGGUGCAAUACCUUGGCAUCUACCAAACCUAACAAUUAUGACAGAAUUACAAAAUGAAUACAUGGAUGAAGGCAACUCCUUGACUGGUGAAAUCCCUACAGACAUCACUUCCCUUGCUGCACUAAUGAAUUUGAAUUUAUCAUCCAACAAAUUGAGUGGACAAAUUCCAGACAUGAUUGGCACCAUGCAGUCACUGGUAUCUCUUGACCUCUCUCAGAGCAAGCUCUCUGGUGAAAUCCCGUCGAGCCUGUCAAGCCUGGCAUCUUUGGCCGCCUUGAACUUGUCCUACAAUAAUCUGUGUGGAAGGAUACCCUCUAGCCGCCAACUUGACACCCUUAACACGGACAACCCAUCACUUAUGUACAUCGGCAACGGUGGACUUUGUGGGCCUCCUCUCCACAACAAUUGUCCAGGAAACGAUUCUUCCAUCAUCCAUGGCGAUCUCGGAAGCAUCAAGCAAGAGUUUGACCCACUGACCUUUUACUUUGGCCUUGUGCUGGGACUUGUGGUGGGACUCUGGAUGGUCUUUUGUGCACUCUUGUUCAAGAGGACAUGGAGAAUUGCUUAUUUCCGACUCUUUGAUGAGGCGUAUGACCAACUCUAUGUAUUAAUGGUCGUGAAAUGGGGAAGAUCAGGCGCGCCCUCCCAAUCUAUGAAACAUAAGAGAAGUAGAACAGUCUCUACCUUAUAUAACGUCGAUAGGGAAACACCGGCUCUGACAUGCUGUGGGCCGUCCUUGGAGGAUUUGUGUGCUACUUCCAAGCACGGCGCUUCGUGUAUAGAAGUUCACAGACCAAGCCUCCAUGGUUUCAUGAGAUAUCCCGACAAGAUGACCACUGUUGUUGAAUAUUGGGUAGUGCCGGCGGCGUCCAGCACUCUGCACGUCCAUCUCCAUGCUGCUGCUUCUUCCCCAACAAACUCCACUCCCCUGGAGGCUCACGGCAGCUGCAUGGAGCCCCUGAUGGUCUCUGAAAAAUCAUGUGGGUUCUUCAUCUGGAAUAAAUCUAUCAUGGAAACUCUUGCAAAACUUCAGUUUAUAAUCCUGUACUCUGCUAUGUACUCCCUUUCUCAAGAGAGACGAGCUUGUCAGCAUCAGGCCCGUCAGUGCAUGGCUAUGGAGUUUCAGAUCGAACAAUUCAUAUUUCAGUUCCUGGGCUUGCAAAUCUCAGCCCCAGAAGCUCAGGGAGCAAAUUUUCAGGGAAAGGACCAGUUGGGCCUUGAUUCCCCCAUGGUUAGAAACAGAACUGGAUCCCAAGUUGGUUUCCACGGCGACGACUCGACCAUGCCGGCCAAGAACGCCUCUCAUAGGAAGAGCAUGGGUUGA
rnacentral:rRNA from 1 species